rnacentral:misc_RNA from 1 species
GCCGGAGUGUGAGCAUCAAGGACGUAUCCCCCACCAAUAAUUCAGCCACUACGAAUUUAAUAGUUCUUUACCCCACUGAAUACAUUUAAUGCAAGUGAAGCGGCUUUCUCACGCAAACAGUUGGUUCACGAUGGCGGUUCGAUUCUGCGAUGUUAUUUUAAUCGGCUUGGUUUUUGUAGCAUAUUCACCACAAACUGGAAAAACUAACGUUUCAGAGAUAGCGCUGAGCAGGCCUGACUUCAAAAUUCAAAACUUACACAAUUAUGUUUGGGAUAUACUUUGCCAUCCUCUGGUGACUAUCUUCAUCCGAUCAGGGGAGAUGACUUCGAAAAGAUCAUCAAAUUUGCCCAAAUCGUGCCUAAAGUGAAAAUUUACUCCUGCGAGUGCUGCCCCGAGGGAAAGGCCAGAAUAAGGGAUUGCGGUCUUUGCGUGGAGCAAUAAAACUGCAUGGGUCUUAUUUAACAAGGUCGGAGAAAAUAUUUACAAAUGUUUUAAAAUACUUUUAUAAACGUUACCAAAACAUAUACAUCUAUAAAGUGUUUUCUUUUUUAAAGGAAUGCAGCAUUUAGUUGGAGGAAAUGAAAUAGUUAACACAGAUGAAAUUCAAAGUCAUAUUUAACUAAAUAUUUAACUAAAUCAUGUUCACAUGACAUUCGGCACUGGAUGUUACAGGAGAUCCGAAGACAUGUUUUCUGCAGGUGAAAGUUAGCAUAGACAUGGCUAUUAGCAAAAGAAAAAAACUAUAUAUGCUGUAACUCGAUUUAAAAUAGAUGUAACAAGCAUGAUUUUAAAAAAUCCCGUAUAUGAAUUAAUUAUUGUAAGAAUGCACAAUUUCAGAAGAGAAAAAUCAGGACAGUGCCUUAAAGUAGGCUUAUUACACAUCUGCGUGAUUAAGAAUUCUUGAUAUGAUCGACAAUCAAUUAUUGACUUCAGUUCACAAAAUGAAAGUAUUCUUUUGAGGUUACAUUGAGUCAGUGCCAUCUCUGGUAAAAAUAAACAAAGCCAUAAAUUGUGGCUACAUAAAGAAAGCAAA